rnacentral:rRNA from 1 species
UACGUAGGGGGCAAGCGUUGUCCGGAUUUAUUGGGCGUAAAGAGCGUGUAGGCGGCUUUACAGGUCCGUUGUGAAAACUCGAGGCUCAACCUCGAGACGCCGGUGGAAACCGUAAGGCUAGAGUCCGGAAGAGGAGAGUGGAAUUCCUGGUGUAGCGGUGAAAUGCGCAGAUAUCAGGAGGAACACCUGCGGUGUAGACGGCUUACUGGACCAUAACUGACGCUGAGGCACGAAAGCGUGGGUAGCAAACAGG